rnacentral:rRNA from 1 species
GUGGGGAAUCUUGCGCAAUGGGCGAAAGCCUGACGCAGCCAUGCCGCGUGAAUGAUGAAGGUCUUAGGAUUGUAAAAUUCUUUCACCGGGGACGAUAAUGACGGUACCCGGAGAAGAAGCCCCGGCUAACUUCGUGCCAGCAGCCGCGGUAAUACGACGGGGGCUAGCGUUGCUCGGAAUUACUGGGCGUAAAGGGCGCGUAGGCGGACAGUUUAGUCAGAGGUGAAAGCCCAGGGCUCAACCUUGGAAUUGCCUUUGAUACUGGCUGUCUUGAGUACGGGAGAGGUGAGUGGAACUCCGGGUGUAGAGGUGAGAUUCGUAGAUAUUCGGAAAAACACCAGGGGCGAAGGCGACUCACUGGCCCGUUACUGACGCUGAGGCGCGAAAGCGUGGGGAGCAAACAGGAUUAGAAACCCUGGUAGUCC